CCUACGGGAGGCAGCAGUGGGGAAUAUUGGACAAUGGGGGCAACCCUGAUCCAGCCAUGCCGCGUGUGUGAAGAAGGCCCUCGGGUUGUAAAGCACUUUCAGUGAGGAAGAACGCCUGGUGGUUAAUACCCAUCAGGAAAGACAUCACUCACAGAAGAAGCACCGGCUAACUCCGUGCCAGCAGCCGCGGUAAUACGGAGGGUGCGAGCGUUAAUCGGAAUUACUGGGCGUAAAGCGCGCGUAGGUGGCUUGAUAAGCCGGUUGUGAAAGCCCCGGGCUCAACCUGGGAACGGCAUCCGGAACUGGCAAGCUAGAGUGCAGGAGAGGAAGGUAGAAUUCCCGGUGUAGCGGUGAAAUGCGUAGAGAUCGGGAGGAAUACCAGUGGCGAAGGCGGCCUUCUGGACUGACACUGACACUGAGGUGCGAAAGCGUGGGUAGCAAACAGGAUUAGAUACCCUUGUAGUC
rnacentral:rRNA from 1 species